rnacentral:rRNA from 1 species
UACGUAGGGGGCUAGCGUUGUCCGGAAUCAUUGGGCGUAAAGAGCGCGUAGGCGGCCAGAUAAGUCCGGUGUGAAAGUCGAGGGCUCAACCCUCGAAUGCCGGUGGAUACUGUCGGGCUAGAGUGCGGAAGAGGCGAGUGGAAUUCCUGGUGUAGCGGUGAAAUGCGCAGAUAUCAGGAGGAACACCGAUGGCGAAGGCAGGUCUCUGGGCCACUACUGACGCUGAGAAGCGAAAGCGUGGGGAGCGAACAGG